rnacentral:sRNA from 1 species
GAGAAAUAUGGUCACAAACUAGACUCUAUAGAAGGAAAGCAACUUGAUUAUUUCUCUGAGCCAGCAUCAUUGAAGGAAGCCCGUUGUUUAAUAUGGCUACUAGAAGAACACAGAGACAAGUUCCCAGCAUUGCAUAGUGCUUUAGAUGAAUUCUUUGAUAUAAUGGACAGCCGCUGUACGGUGUUAAGGAAACAAGAUAGUGGUGAAGCACCGUUUAGUUCAACCAAGGUGAAAAACAAAAGCAAGAAAAAGAAGCCAAAGGAUUCAAAGCCUAUGUUAGUUGGGUCUGGAACAACUUCAGUAACUCCAAAUAAUGAGAUCAUCACUUCAAGUGAAGACCAUAGCAAUCGAAAUUCAGAUUCUGCAGGCCCAUUUGCAGUGCCUGACCAUCUUCGGCAAGAUGUAGAAGAAUUUGAAGCUCUCUAUGACCAACACAGUAACGAAUAUGUUGUCCGCAAUAAGAAGCUAUGGGACAUGAACCCAAAACAAAAAUGUUCAACUCUGUAUGAUUACUUCUCUCAGUUUUUGGAGGAACAUGGUCCCUUGGACAUGAGUAACAAGAUGUUCUCUGCAGAAUAUGAGUUUUUCCCAGAAGAAACUCGACAGAUACUAGAAAAAGCAGGAGGUUUAAAACCUUUUCUCUUGGGAUGCCCUCGUUUUGUUGUGAUUGACAACUGUAUUGCACUGAAGAAGGUUGCAUCACGGCUCAAGAAAAAAAGGAAGAAGAAAAACAUUAAAACAAAAGUAGAAGAAAUUUCAAAAGCAGGGGAGUAUGUACGAGUUAAACUACAACUGAAUCCAGCUGCUAGGGAAUUUAAACCAGAUGUAAAGUCUAAACCAGUGUCAGAUUCAUCUUCAGCACCAGCUUCUGAAGAUGUGAAACCCAAACCUGUGUCUGCAAAUUCUCCCAAGCCAGCUUGUGAAGAUGUGAAGUCCAAACCGGUAUCCGACAAUUCUUCUAGACAAGUUUCUGAGGAUGGGCAACCCAAAGGGGUCUCUUCUAAUUCUCCCAAACCAGGCUCUGAGGAUGCAAAUUACAGGCGAGUCUCCUGUAAUUCCCCCAAACCGGUUCUUGAGGAUGUGAAACCAACUUAUUGGGCUCAAUCCCAUUUGGUCACAGGAUACUGUACGUAUCUUCCUUUCCAGAGAUUUGAUAUCACCCAGACACCGCCAGCAUACAUAAACGUGUUACCAGGUUUGCCCCAGUACACCAGCAUAUAUACACCCUUGGCUAGCCUUUCUCCUGAAUAUCAGCUACCAAGAUCAGUACCAGUGGUGCCGUCUUUUGUAGCCAAUGACAGAGCAGAUAAAAAUGCUGCUGCCUAUUUUGAGGGUCAUCAUUUGAAUGCUGAGAAUGUUGCUGGUCACCAGAUUGCCUCUGAAACACAGAUCCUUGAGGGCUCUUUGGGAAUAUCUGUAAAGUCACACUGCAGCACAGGUGAUGCUCAUACAGUCCUGAGUGAGUCUAACAGAAAUGAUGAGCACUGUGGAAAUUCUAACAACAAAUGUGAAGUAAUUCCAGAAAGCACCAGUGCAGUAACAAACAUUCCACACGUGCAGAUGGUUGCCAUACAGGUAUCUUGGAACAUAAUACACCAAGAAGUCAAUACUGAGCCAUAUAAUCCUUUUGAGGAACGACAGGGGGAAAUUUCACGGAUUGAAAAGGAGCACCAAGUAUUACAAGACCAACUUCAACAAGUGUAUGAAAAUUAUGAGCAGAUAAAACUUAAGGGCUUAGAAGAGACCAGGGACCUGGAAGAGAAGUUGAAAAGGCACUUAGAAGAAAACAAGAUCUCAAAGACGGAAUUAGAUUGGUUCCUUCAAGAUUUGGAAAGAGAAAUUAAAAAAUGGCAACAGGAAAAAAAAGAAAUCCAAGAAAGACUAAAAUCACUGAAGAAGAAAAUUAAAAAGGUUUCAAAUGCCAGUGAAAUGUAUACCCAGAAAAAUGAUGGAAAGGAAAAGGAACAUGAAUUACAUCUGGAUCAGUCCCUUGAAAUCAGGCAAAUUAAGCUUAAAUUUAUUUUUAAUAUCUUUUAAUACUUUUAAUGCCAGGAGUACAAGCACGGUAGACUUUGAAGUAUAUUGUUGCUUAUCUAUUUCUUUUAAAUAAUUAUGUUUCUGUUUUCUUUAUUUCUAUUUCUGUUGCAUUUUAAAAAUUAAUUUAUAAAUAUAUUCUUUGAAUAUUUAAAUAUUUUUAUUUUACAAGAUUUCUGCAUUUAUUUCCCAUUGUCAAUAUAAAAAUACUGAAUUUAUCGUUGUCAACUUUUUUUGGAUUAACUUGAAACUAAAAACAUGUUGUAAAAAC